UUAAUGGGUGAUGGCGUGCCUUUUGUAGAAUGAACCGGCGAGUUACGAUUUGAUGCAAGGUUAAGCAGUAAAUGUGGAGCCGUAGCGAAAGCGAGUCUGAAUAGGGCGUUUAGUAUUUGGUCGUAGACCCGAAACCAGGUGAUCUACCCUUGGUCAGGUUGAAGUUCAGGUAACACUGAAUGGAGGACCGAACCGACUUACGUUGAAAAGUGAGCGGAUGAACUGAGGGUAGCGGAGAAAUUCCAAUCGAACCUGGAGAUAGCUGGUUCUCUCCGAAAUAGCUUUAGGGCUAGCCUCAAGUGAUGAUUAUUGGAGGUAGAGCACUGUUUGGACGAGGGGCCCCUCUCGGGUUACCGAAUUCAGACAAACUCCGAAUGCCAAUUAAUUUAACUUGGGAGUCAGAACAUGGGUGAUAAGGUCCGUGUUCGAAAGGGAAACAGCCCAGACCACCAGCUAAGGUCCCAAAAUAUAUGUUAAGUGGAAAAGGAUGUGGCGUUGCCCAGACAACUAGGAUGUUGGCUUAGAAGCAGCCAUCAUUUAAAGAGUGCGUAAUAGCUCACUAGUCGAGUGACACUGCGCCGAAAAUGUACCGGGGCUAAACAUAUUACCGAAGCUGUGGAUUGUCCUUUGGACAAUGGUAGGAGAGCGUUCUAAGGGCGUUGAAGCAUGAUCGUAAGGACAUGUGGAGCGCUUAGAAGUGAGAAUGCCGGUGUGAGUAGCGAAAGACGGGUGAGAAUCCCGUCCACCGAUUGACUAAGGUUUCCAGAGGAAGGCUCGUCCGCUCUGGGUUAGUCGGGUCCUAAGCUGAGGCCGACAGGCGUAGGCGAUGGAUAACAGGUUGAUAUUCCUGUACCACCUAUA
rnacentral:rRNA from 1 species